rnacentral:rRNA from 1 species
UGGGGAAUAUUGGACAAUGGGCGAAAGCCUGAUCCAGCCAUGCCGCGUGAGUGAAGAAGGCCUUAGGGUUGUAAAGCUCUUUCGCCGAUGAAGAUAAUGACGGUAGUCGGAGAAGAAGCCCCGGCUAACUUCGUGCCAGCAGCCGCGGUAAUACGAAGGGGGCUAGCGUUGUUCGGAUUUACUGGGCGUAAAGCGCGCGUAGGCGGGUUGUUAAGUCAGGGGUGAAAUGCCGAGGCUCAACCUCGGAACUGCCUUUGAUACUGGCAAUCUGGAGUUCGGGAGAGGUGAGUGGAAUUCCGAGUGUAGAGGUGAAAUUCGUAGAUAUUCGGAGGAACACCAGAAGCGAAGGCGGCUCACUGGCCCGAUACUGACGCUGAGGCGCGAAAGCGUGGGGAGCAAACAGGACUAGAUACCCUGGUAGUCCACGCCGUAAACGAUGAAUGCCAGCCGUUGGGGAGCAUGCUCUUCGGUGGCGCAGCUAACGCAUUAAGC